UUCGCCCUUAGAGUUUGAUCCUGGCUCAGGACGAACGCUGGCGGCGUGCUUAACACAUGCAAGUCGAACGGGGUGCCCAUGAAGGAGAUUUCGGUCAACGGAUUGGGUUGCUUAGUGGCGGACGGGUGAGUAACGCGUGAGGAACCUGCCUUUCAGAGGGGGACAACAGUUGGAAACGACUGCUAAUACCGCAUAACAUGUAGGUGUCGCAUGGCAUUUACAUCAAAGAUUUAUCGCUGAGAGAUGGCCUCGCGUCUGAUUAGCUAGUUGGUAGGGUAACGGCCUACCAAGGCGACGAUCAGUAGCCGGACUGAGAGGUUGGCCGGCCACAUUGGGACUGAGAUACGGCCCAGACUCCUACGGGAGGCAGCAGUGGGGAAUAUUGGGCAAUGGGCGCAAGCCUGACCCAGCAACGCCGCGUGAAGGAAGAAGGCUUUCGGGUUGUAAACUUCUUUUGUCAGGGAAGAGUAGAAGACGGUACCUGACGAAUAAGCCACGGCUAACUACGUGCCAGCAGCCGCGGUAAUACGUAGGUGGCAAGCGUUGUCCGGAUUUACUGGGUGUAAAGGGCGUGUAGCCGGGUUGACAAGUCAGAUGUGAAAUCCUGUGGCUUAACCGCAGAACUGCAUUUGAAACUGUUGAUCUUGAGUACUGGAGAGGCAGACGGAAUUCCUAGUGUAGCGGUGAAAUGCGUAGAUAUUAGGAGGAACACCAGUGGCGAAGGCGGUCUGCUGGACAGCAACUGACGGUGAGGCGCGAAAGCGUGGGGAGCAAACAGGAUUAGAUACCCUGGUAGUCCACGCUGUAAACGAUGGAUACUAGGUGUGCGGGGACUGACCCCCUGCGUGCCGCAGCUAACGCAAUAAGUAUCCCACCUGGGGAGUACGAUCGCAAGGUUGAAACUCAAAGGAAUUGACGGGGGCCCGCACAAGCGGUGGACUAUGUGGUUUAAUUCGAUGCAACGCGAAGAACCUUACCAGGGCUUGGCAUCCCAAUGAAUGCCCGGCAAUGCGGGCAGGCCCUUCGGGGACAUUGGAGACAGGUGGUGCAUGGUUGUCGUCAGCUCGUGUCGUGAGAUGUUGGGUUAAGUCCCGCAACGAGCGCAACCCUUACCCCCAGUAGCCAGCAGUAAGAUGGGAACUCUGGGGGGACUGCCGGGGACAACCCGGAGGAAGGUGGGGAUGACGUCAAAUCAUCAUGCCCCUUAUGCCUGGGGCGACACACGUGCUACAAUGGCGCCAACAGAGUGAGGCGAACCUGCGGGGGGGAGCAAAGCACAAAAAAGGCGUCCCAGUUCGGAUUACAGCCUGCAACCCGGCUGUAUGAAGCUGGAAUCGCUAGUAAUCGCAGAUCAGAAUGCUGCGGUGAAUACGUUCCCGGGUCUUGCACACACCGCC
rnacentral:rRNA from 1 species